UACGAAGGGGGCUAGCGUUGCUCGGAAUCACUGGGCGUAAAGCGCACGUAGGCGGACUCUUAAGUCGGGGGUGAAGUCCUGGAGCUCAACUCCAGAACUGCCUUCGAUACUGGAAAGCUCGAGUCCGGGAGAGGUGAGUGGAACUGCGAGUGUAGAGGUGAAAUUCGUAGAUAUUCGCAAGAACACCAGUGGCGAAGGCGGCUCACUGGCCCGGUACUGACGCUGAGGUGCGAAAGCGUGGGGAGCAAACAGG
rnacentral:rRNA from 1 species